CCUACGGGAGGCUGCAGUGGGGAAUAUUUGGCAAUGGGCGCAAGCCUGACCCAGCAACGCCGCGUGAAGGACUAAGGCCCUCGGGUUGUAAACUUCUUUUAUUCGGGACGAAAAAAAUGACGGUACCGCAUGAAUAAGCCACGGCUAACUACGUGCCAUCCGCCGCGGUAAUAAGUCGGGGGCAAGCGUUAUCCGGAUUUACUGGGUGUAAAGGGCUUGUAGGCGGGAGAGGAAGUCAGACGUGAAAUUCCAGGGAUCAACCCGGGAACUGCCUUUGAAACGGGCAAACUUGAGUGUAGGAGAGGAGAGUGGAAUUCAAGGUGUAGGAGUGAAAUCCGUAGAUAUCUGGAGGAACAUCAGUGGCGAAGGCGACUAUCUGGCACAUAACUGACGCUGAGGAGCGAAAGCGUGGGGAGCAAACAGGAUUAGAUACCCUGGUAGUC
rnacentral:rRNA from 1 species